CAAAAUAAACACAAAAGGGGAUUAGGGUUUACGUGUUGUGCCUCUUGGACUUGCUCCUCUCAUUCUUCGCGUGAGCAACGGCGCCGAUUCUCCCCUCCAGCGAAACUUCUCCGAUGAAAGCCUCUUCCCUUCGCCGUGAAUCAACCUACACAACCACCACACUCUCAUUUCUCGUCUCUCAUCUUACGAUCUCAAUUCUCAGCGCCGCGGCGAACGCACCGUUUCUCUUCCCUUUCUACUCCCGUUUUCGAUCUCCUCUCUCAACAAUCAGAAAAACGCACCACGCAAGGCAGUGAAGGUGUUUACCUACCGGAGAAGUCCGGUACUUCUCCCAAUUUAAUAAAGGUGAAGAGAAUCCCGUAGUUCUAUCAAGAGUUCAGUGGCAUUGUAGAAGUAUUGUUAUGAUGAUGAUGAUAAUUGCUGCGUCGUGAUGAUAAUGAAGUGUGACGAAGAUGAUGACACCAUGAAGUUUGAAGUGUGAAGACGAUUGGUGAUGAUUCAAAGAUGAUGAUGAUGAAAGUUGAGUGAAGUUGAUGAAGAAGUGAAGGAUGAAGAUUCAAGAGCGAACCAUUCUGAGCUUGUUACAGGUUUAUGGUGGUGGAGGUUGAAGAAGAGUGGAUGCAGAGGUUCUGUUAUCGUUGAGGUGAAGGUUGUUGGUGAUUGAUGAAGAGGAUGAAGAAGUGAUGAAGAUGAGUGAUGGAAGCUGAAUGAUGGUGGUGAAGGAUGGAGGGUGAGAAGAAUGAAGAGAGAAUCCCCAAAUGAUGAAGCAGGCUAAGAUUUAUAGAGGUCUGUUUUCGAGGUGCUGCAAGUCUGUGAAUGUUUGAUGGCAGCUCCGGUUUUAUUUUGCGGGUUUUGAGUGGUUUUCUAGAAGGUAUUGGCAUGGUGUCGAAUUCUGAAGUAUGUGGCUUGGAUGUGUUACGAAACUGUGAGCGAACCGUAUGGUGAAGAUUAUAUUGAAGAUUCUGAUUUAGGUUUUGGAACUUGUCAAGUCAAAAGAUAGGCUGCAGCAAGUGUAUUGGUGCGGAGACGCAACUAGUGUAAUCGCACGGCUCAUGGUGUAUUUGGGACAACACAGAGAUGGGUUAAACUAUGAAGCUUGAAGAUUGGGGAGAAAGAAUAUGCUUGAAGUUUAGUAUAGAAAUGUAACUAAUUGACUUUGUAAUGAGACUUUUUCCUCUUUUUUGUAUUGAAUUGGAUUGGAAGGGAACAUUGAGCAUGUAGAUGAUUCUCCUUGUAAAGUGAUAUGAUAUAUAUACAUAUGGUUCUUGAAA